rnacentral:rRNA from 1 species
UACGGGGGGGGCAAGCGUUGUUCGGAAUUACUGGGCGUAAAGGGCUCGUAGGCGGCCAACUAAGUCAUACGUGAAAUCCCUCGGCUUAACCGGGGAACUGCGUCUGAUACUGGAUGGCUUGAGUUCGGGAGAGGGAUGCGGAAUUCCAGGUGUAGCGGUGAAAUGCGCAGAUAUCUGGAGGAACACCGGUGGCGAAGGCGGCAUCCUGGACCGAUACUGACGCUGAGGAGCGAAAGCCAGGGGAGCAAACGGG